AACUUUUAGCAACGGAUCUCUAGGCUCUUGCAGCGAUGAAGAAAGCAGCAAAAUGCGAAACGUGAUGCGAUUUGCAUGAAUCUGUGAGUCAUCUAAUCUUUGAACGCGAAUGGCACUGUUACGUAAGUAGCAGUAUGUCUGUUUGAGAAUCGCAAAACAAGAUCAACUCUAGUUGAGAGUUGGGACUGGCCUUAUAUGCGUGUGUGCGUAUUUGGCUUGAAUUGAUCGAGUUGAUGAGCUUCCCAGCGCGGCUCAAUGUGUGCUAGCGAGACAGUCGUCCCGAUCUCACAUUAUCGCUGCGUUGCAGAGUUCUGACCACAGCUCGCUAAACCUAUUAUCAAUUACGAUCUCAAAUCAGGCAAGAUUACCCGCUGAACUUAAGCAUAUCAAUAAGCGGAGGCU
rnacentral:misc_RNA from 1 species